AUUGAACGCUGGCGGCAGGCCUAACACAUGCAAGUCGAGCGGUAGAGAGAAGCUUGCUUCUCUUGAGAGCGGCGGACGGGUGAGUAAUGCCUAGGAAUCUGCCUGGUAGUGGGGGAUAACGUUCGGAAACGGACGCUAAUACCGCAUACGUCCUACGGGAGAAAGCAGGGGACCUUCGGGCCUUGCGCUAUCAGAUGAGCCUAGGUCGGAUUAGCUAGUUGGUGGGGUAAUGGCUCACCAAGGCGACGAUCCGUAACUGGUCUGAGAGGAUGAUCAGUCACACUGGAACUGAGACACGGUCCAGACUCCUACGGGAGGCAGCAGUGGGGAAUACUGGACAAUGGGCGAAAGCCUGAUCCAGCCAUGCCGCGUGUGUGAAGAAGGUCUUCGGAUUGUAAAGCACUUUAAGUUGGGAGGAAGGGCAGUAAAUUAAUACUUUGCUGUUUUGACGUUACCGACAGAAUAAGCACCGGCUAACUCUGUG
rnacentral:rRNA from 1 species